rnacentral:rRNA from 1 species
AAGUCGUAACAAGGUUUCCGUAGUGAACCUGCGGAAGGAUCAUUACCGAAUUGUCAACACGAGUUGUUGCUGGCCCUCAGAUGGGGGCACGUGCACGCUCUGUUCACACAUCCACUCACACCUGUGCACCCUCUGUAGUUCUGUGGCCUGGAGGACGUCGUCUUCCUGCUAUGGUUCUGCGUCUUUACACACACACUGUAAUAAAGUCUCAUGGGAUGUAUGCAGCGUUUAACGCAAUACAAUACAACUUUCAGCAACGGAUCUCUUGGCUCUCGCAUCGAUGAAGAACGCAGCGAAAUGCGAUAAGUAAUGUGAAUUGCAGAAUUCAGUGAAUCAUCGAAUCUUUGAACGCACCUUGCGCCCUCUGGCUAUUCCGGAGGCAUACCUGUUUGAGUAUCAUGAACACCUCAACUCUCAUGGUUUGCCAUGAUGAGCUUGGACUUUGGGGUUUUGCUGGCCUAUGGUCGGCUCCUCUCAAAUGAAUCAGCUUGCCGGCAUCUGGUGGCUCAUGGGUGUGAUAACUAUCUACAUCCAUAGCUUUUCACCGGGUAACCUUCAGCUUGUGGAGGUUUGCUGGAGCUCACAGACGUUCCCCUUUGUUGAGGACAGCUCUUUGAACGUUUUGAUCUCAAUAUCAGGUAGGACUACCCGCUGAACUUAA